UCUUUUCCUCUUCUAAUUUUUGUUUUAAUUCUCAGUUCUCUUCUUUCAUAAAAUGGCUACUACUUAACUUUUACCAAGAAGACCACAAUUUUCAUAUGAUCUUUGAUGUGGUUAGGUGAACUAUCUAUUUGAUUGUAGUCUUUAAGUCUCUGAUGAUCAGUGUGUGAUACAUUAUUAGAGUUUGGUUCUGCCAAGACAACUAAAAAGAGUGCCAAACAAGUAUGAAUAUUUGUUAGUGCUAAUAGCCCAGUGUAUUUUUAGAGAAUUCGACAUGGGUGCAUCAUCAUAACUGAAGAGUCCGUACAACAUGGCCACAAUCAGUAAGUGCGGUGGAGUUUUUAGUUCAUUCUGAAUUUUGGCUUUGUUUCUUGAAUCUAACUUGACUCUUUCAGCCGAGGUAGUUGAAAUUAUUUUAGAUAAGUUGUUGGUCUAAUGGUUAAUGCAAAAAAUAGUUGUAAGAUGGAUAAAGUAGUUCUAGCUUGACUAAUUGGCUUGAUAUGUUUGUGCUGUCAGUGUGGUGUUAUAGGUUUUGCUAUGAUUAACAAAUAUCGAUAUUUCACUAUUGUAAAACAUAAAAUUAUUUCAAUAUGGUCACAAAAUUCUGAUUGCUUGAAGUAAUAUAAGUUGAAUCUGUGAUUUUUUUUUGAUGAAGUGAGAUUACAUUAAGGCAUUCAGUAGAUGCAAAGAUAUGGAAGGGGGAUCUGAAUUCUGGGAUUUUAGUUUCAAAUUUAUAUCUUAAGAAGUAACUGCAAUUUUUUUAAAAUAAUCAAAAUUUACUUUCAAAUUUUUACUCAAAAGUAAUGGUAGGUCAUCAUGUUGGCAUGUAUAAGCUCGGUAGACUAUCACUAAGAUUCACUCCUAGGCAUACCCAAAACUAUUAUAUUGGAUUGAGUUCGCUGCCUCAACAAGUUCACCUAUAGCAACUUCUUAUUUUUUGCAAAAUCGUUUUUUACUUGAUCUGAUCAAUCAAGUAUCAACACUUGUAUAUAAAUUUGCCAACAUUAACUUAAUAACUGAAUCUAAUGUGUAUUAAGUUCAUUGAUGUGUUUUUAAGGAAGAUUAUGUGUAUUACUACUGACAACUUGAGGAACACUAGAUUAUGUGCUUCUAAAGGUGCUCAUUAGUUUGUCAUAUAAGUUGUUUCAUUUCAUAUCCUCCGAGCAAUAACUUCCAUUUCUGAUUUGCUUUUUGUUAAUGGUGUAAUCUUUUUUAUACUUAUGCAUGGUUAUCUGCCUUAUGAAGAAGUCAAAUCUCAUGUCAUUAUAUAAGGAAGUGUGCCUAUUUGUUAUCGGUCAUUCCAAAAUGCAAUUUGUAUCAUACAUUUUCCUUGGAAGAGAAUUUUAGGUAAGUGAGUAUUAUUGACAAAACUCUACGAAUGACACAUAAUGAGGAAUUGAUUUAAUUGUAGGUACAUAAAGCUGAAUUUGCAUGUCCAUCAUAAUUUUCUUCUAAUGCAAAGAAACGAAUCAAAGAAACCUUGGAUUUAGAUUUAAUGACGGUAUGUAUAUCACACUAUCUCCUUCUCCAAGACAAAAGAGAAAUAGAGCAGAAAGUUAACUGGUGUAAUGUAUUUAUAUAUAAUAGAUGUGUUUAGUUGGCUCUUUAUCUGCACUUGAAUUUAGCUUCUCAUUCAUUACCAAAAUACGAUUUGAUGGCAGCAUAUAUUUGCAUUAGAAAGCCACAGGUUUCUAUACCUGAUCUGGAUGCACAAAUUUAUAUGCAAUUUCCUUCGCAAGCGGAUUGAUUGGAGUAAUAUGACUCUACAUAUGGCUGAAAACAUUUAUAAUAUACAUGUGUGCGUCUUUAAAGUUGAAAGUGAGUUUCGGUAUGCACACAUUUAUUUUACUGCUAUAAUUUGACCUUACCUGAUUAUGUGAAAAAUGUAAAGUUGAAUGUGAGACUUAAUUGUAUUUUCAUUGGAAUUGAUGUUGUGAAGUUUGUUAAUGUUGCAUUAACUUUUUAUGGCAUUUACUUUGAUCUUUGAGCGAGAAAGUCUUACACAUGUAAUUUCCAUUCACUUUGAAAAUGAGGAAGAAAACAAGGUUUUCUAUGAUGAGCUUGAGCUUGCACAAGGGAAGACAAACGUGGUUGUUCAAGGUCUGUUUGGAGAGGUCUAUUGCUUCAAAAGUUAAUCUUGAAUUUUAAUUGAGAUGGUAACAAAACUUGCUUUUGGAGUAGGUUGACCCUUGAUGAUGUAGCAUAGAAUAAAUUGUCAAUUCUUAAAGAAUAGCGACGAAGUGUGAUUUACAAGUAGAUUUUAUGUAGUGCAUUCAAUAUCUAUGUAAUAAAAUAAUAAUCGAUUGCCUUCUUAUUAUGUAUAUGUUUGAUAAGCUUUGAAUUUGGAUACUA